rnacentral:lncRNA from 1 species
GGUGUUCAAUCCAGAUAUCAGAUUGGUUUCGGUUCGGUUUGGUUUUUUUCGGUAUUUUGGUUAGUAAAAUAUAACUACUAUUCUAAAUCCAUAUUUACUUUGACUUUAAUCUUUCACAUACUUUUGAAAGAUUUCAACUCGACAACUAAAUUGAUCAGCCAAUCUUGUUGCUUUAAAUCAUUAGUAUUUAUAUAUAUAUUAUUUAGGUUGAAUAUUUACUAAAUAAAAAUUCAUAUGCGUUAUAUUUU